UAGAUAGGUGGCUGGAUGAAUUUUUCAGUC
rnacentral:piRNA from 1 species